UACGUAGGGUGCGAGCGUUAAUCGGAAUUACUGGGCGUAAAGUGUGCGCAGGUGGCCGCGCAUGUCGAGUGUGAAAUCCCCGGGCUUAACUUGGGAAUUGCGCUCGAAACUACGUGGCUCGAGUGUGGCAGAGGAAGGUGGAAUUCCACGUGUAGCGGUGAAAUGCGUAGAGAUGUGGAGGAACACCGAUGGCGAAGGCAGCCUUCGUGGGC
rnacentral:rRNA from 1 species